UUUUGGUGUUUCAAAUGCUAUUAAAACAAAACAAGAACAACAAAGGAUUGUGUUAACAAAAGGAAAAGACCUGCAUGGAGUACAGAAGGGAGCCCCCCAAAUUGUAACUGUGUUUCCAACAACCUCGGAGGAAAAAGACUGACACCCCGACCUGGAACAGCUCCGCCUCCUAAGAGAAAUGAGUGCGUCCGCAAAAGUGCGUAGCCUCCAGGAAUUAAAAGUGGAGCGACAGGGUGGUCCCAAGCCCCAGGAUGGUGGUACCCAGCAUUUCCCGCACGGCUGGCCCUGCAACCAGCAGCUCAUUCCAGCAAAUUCUCAACCUGCUCCAUUUUUUAAGGGGGGUGGGGUGGGGGUAACAAGCUCAGAGAGCUGAGAACUCGCUGGAGUUCACAGAGCCCAAAGGCGCUGGCGCGGGUGCACGAGCCCGGGCUGUGAUGUGACUUCACGGCUCACGGUUUGAACCACCGCGAUGCCGUCCGUACCCAAUAAAAGCUGGGUAGGUGCAUGUUGAAUGAGUGACUUUGGCUACAGAUCCUUAAAACCUCCAAAAAAAAAAAAAAAAAAAGAGGAAGAGGAAGGAGAAAUUUU